UAUACGGGUAGCUAGCUAGACUGAAUAAAUUUUUAAAUGGUAGCUAAACUGAAUUUAUUUUUAAAUUGUGAGAUGAUGCAUGGGAAUACCCGACAAGAUAAAAAUCAUGGAUGACACAUAUUGCUUGCUACCGAUAUUCAGGUACUUGGUUUAUAUAACUUACCCUGUAAUAAAACUCAAUCAGUCAAAUUAAAUCAACCUAACCGCAAAACCACAGUUUUAGUUCGGAUACAUUUAGUGGUUUCUUAGUAAUUUUUCUGCAAUGAAAACAAUGGAAUUGCAACGCAAAUUAGUCCUUACUACGUGGAUUGCAGUGAUACUCUUUUCUGCAUCAACGACACAUGCAGAUUUACCUGAUGCAGGAUGUAAAGAAUCAAAUAAAACCGCAGU